rnacentral:lncRNA from 1 species
GAGACAGUGUUAAGGAGGAGACACCAUAAGCUCUGUCCUCCUGUCCUUUCUUACCACACCAUGUGGAAGAACAGAUAUGCUCAGCUGUACCUUUUUUCAGUUCUUCUUGCCUUCCUGCCUUCUGCAUCUUCACUCAAUGGAGACCCGAAGUAUAUGGUGCUGGUCCCUUCUCAGCUCUACACUGAGACCCCUGAGAAAAUCUGCUUCCAUCUAUACCAUCUGAAUGAGACAGUGACCGUCACAGCUUCCUUGGUGUCUCAAUCAAGAUGGAGAAACCUGUUCGAUGAGCAUAUCACAGAUUUCUUGGUAUCUCAAUUGGAAAGGAGAAACCUGUUCGAUGAGCUUGUGGUUGACAAGGACUUGUUCCAAUGUGUUUCCUUCAUUAUCCCUACACUCAACUCUCCUGAUGAGGAGGAGUUUCUCUACGUGGACAUCAAAGGGCCAACCCACGAAUUCAGCAAAAGGAAAGCAGUGCUUGUGAAGAACAAAGAAAGUGUUGUCUUUGUCCAGACAGAUAAGCCCGUGUACAAACCAGGACAAUCAGUUAAAUUUCGGGUUGUCUCUAUGGAUAAAACUCUACACCCCCUGAAUGAGUUGCUCCCUCUGGCUUACAUUGAGGUAAGAAACUUAAGUGUUUUGUAAUCAGAGAGAACUCAAUAUUAUGAAAGUAACCUGACAUUGGGAUGUCUAACUGCUAUGGGUCGGCAGCCCUCCCCCAUUCGAGAUAACUGGCUUGUUAUUUCCUACUUCACCUUUAUUCCUUCCCUCCACAAAAGAAUAUUACCAACUUUCAAAAUGCUUCCAUCAACAGCAACCUAGAUGCAUUGUUGUUCUUAAUACUUUAUUGACUUAGAAAAUUUACAACCUCUUUUACAGGAUCCGAAAAAGAACCGAAUUAUGCAGUGGAGGGAUAUUAAGACUGAGAAUGGGCUUAAGCAAAUGUCCUUCAGCCUGGCAGCAGAGCCCAUUCAGGGCCCCUACAAGAUAGUGGUGCACAAACAGUCAGGGGAGAUGGAAGAACACUCCUUUACUGUGUUGGAAUUUGGUAUGAAUUGGGAAGACCAUCAAGAAAAAGCAAGUCUCAGGAUUCUGGUUAUCAUAGGAUGAAUUACUUUGUACAAAUUGAGUUCCAUCUGACUCUAGCUAAGGCUAUCCAUCUAGCAACAUGGGAAUUCUAGAAAGUUCUGGGAUUUUUCAAAAGCAAAUUACUUGUUUUAUUUUGUUUUUUUGUUUGUUCAUUUUUUUUACUUAAGUAGAUAUCCCUGUGAUUUUCAAGAAGUGAUAUAAUGUAUAGCCACUCAUCAUUCUAACUUUAUUGGGAUGGGUCAUGCCUUAAUAAUGUGAAAUGACCAUUUCUGGGCAGAGAGUGAUCACUUAGGCAACUAGACAAUUAGGUCCACUCCUGAGUGUCUCCUCUCUCUCACAAUAGUGCUUCCCAGAUUUAAUGUCGACCUGAAGGUUCCAAAUGCCAUCUCUGUGAAUGAUGAAGUGCUCCAAGUGACUGCAUGUGGGAAAUAUACCUAUGGGAAGCCUGUUCCAGGACAGGUGAAGAUAAGUAUCUGCCAUGAGACUGAAGCUGGAUGCAAAGAAGUCAAUUCCAAGGUGAGUGAAUCCAUUCUAAGGCCUGUUUUAAAUAUCCAAGACUGUCUAACAGGAAUGCAGACAGCAAAGAGAAGAGAACACACAUACCCACACAUUGAAAGAAGAUGUUCUGGGACCUUGGGCUGUAGCCCAGGGAUGGAACACUAGCCAGGCUUGUGUGCAAACCCCAGAAACACAUCUAAGCCCCUCACUGACAAAAGAGAUAAUUCUGGGAUCCACUACUAUUAAAGGAAUAUUUCAACAACUUUA